AUUGAACGCUGGCGGCAGGCUUAACACAUGCAAGUCGAGCGAGCGGCGGACGGGUGAGUUAUGUCUGGGACACUGCCUGGGGGAGGGGGAUCACUUCUGGAAACGGUAGCUAAUACCGCAUACCCUCAGAUGCGCCCAGAUGGGAUUAGCUAGUAGGUGGGGUAAUGGCUCACCUAGGCGACGAUCCCUAGCUGGUCUGAGAGGAUGACCAGCCACACUGGAACUGAGACACGGUCCAGACUCCUACGGGAGGCAGCAGUGGGGAAUAUUGCACAAUGGGCGCAAGCCUGAUGCAGCCAUGCCGCGUGUGUGAAGAAGGCCUUCGGGUUGUAAAGCACUUUCAGCGAGGAGGCGUUACUCGCAGAAGAAGCACCGGCUAACUCCGUGCCAGCCGCCGCGGUAAUAC
rnacentral:rRNA from 1 species